rnacentral:rRNA from 1 species
UACAUGGGGUGCAAACGUUGUUCGGAAUUACUGGGCGUAAAGGGCUCGUAGGUGGCCAACUAAGUCGGACGUGAAAUCCCUCAGCUUAACUGGGGAACUGCGUCCGAUACUGGAUGGCUUGAGUUUGGGAGAGGGAUGCGGAAUUCCAGGUGUAGCGGUGAAAUGCGUAGAUAUCUGGAGGAACACCGGUGGCGAAGGCGGGUCUCUGGGCCGAUACUGACGCUGAGGAGCGAAAGCGUGGGGAGCGAACAGG